UGGGGAAUUUUCCGCAAUGGGCGAAAGCCUGACGGAGCAAUACCGCGUGAGGGAGGAAGGCUCUUGGGUUGUAAACCUCUUUUCUCAGGGAAGAACACAAUGACGGUACCUGAGGAAUCAGCAUCGGCUAACUCCGUGCCAGCAGCCGCGGUAAUACGGAGGAUGCAAGCGUUAUCCGGAAUGAUUGGGCGUAAAGCGUCCGCAGGUGGCUGUGUAAGUCUGCUGUCAAAGAGCAAAGCUUAACUUUGUAAAGGCAGUGGAAACUACACGGCUAGAGUGCGUUCGGGGCAGAGGGAAUUCCUGGUGUAGCGGUGAAAUGCGUAGAGAUCAGGAAGAACACCGGUGGCGAAGGCGCUCUGCUAGGCCGCAACUGACACUGAGGGACGAAAGCUAGGGGAGCGAAUG
rnacentral:rRNA from 1 species